UCGAACGGGAAUUACUUAUUGAACCUUCGGUCGAUUUAAUUUAAUUCUAGUGGCGGACGGGUGAGUAACGCGUGGGUAACCUGCCUUAUACAGGGGGAUAACAGUCAGAAAUGGCUGCUAAUACCGCAUAAGCGCACAGAGCUGCAUGGCUCAGUGUGAAAAACUCCGGUGGUAUAAGAUGGACCCGCGUUGGAUUAGCUGGUUGGUGGGGUAACGGCCCACCAAGGCGACGAUCCAUAGCCGGCCUGAGAGGGUGAACGGCCACAUUGGGACUGAGACACGGCCCAGACUCCUACGGGAGGCAGCAGUGGGGAAUAUUGCACAAUGGGGGAAACCCUGAUGCAGCGACGCCGCGUGAAGGAAGAAGUAUCUCGGUAUGUAAACUUCUAUCAGCAGGGAAGAUAGUGACGGUACCUGACUAAGAAGCCCCGGCUAACUACGUGCCAGCAGCCGCGGUAAUACGUAGGGGGCAAGCGUUAUCCGGAUUUACUGGGUGUAAAGGGAGCGUAGACGGUGUGGCAAGUCUGAUGUGAAAGGCAUGGGCUCAACCUGUGGACUGCAUUGGAAACUGUCAUACUUGAGUGCCGGAGGGGUAAGCGGAAUUCCUAGUGUAGCGGUGAAAUGCGUAGAUAUUAGGAGGAACACCAGUGGCGAAGGCGGCUUAC
rnacentral:rRNA from 1 species